CGGGUAAAGCCAAUGAUUAGAGG
rnacentral:snRNA from 1 species